GAAGGGUCAGUGUAGUUUUCAAAGUUCGUAUCAGACAUUUGGGAAUGGAAUCUGGAGACCUUGCAGGGCUUGCUACAGGGUUCUGUGCAACGAUUUCCUAAUGGCUUCCCAUGAAUUAGAAUGUGUAAUGCAUAGUCGCGCUGGGAGAGCACACACCCUCAAACUACAUCACCGGCUUCUUUAACGGGGCAGAGGGAAUGGUGUGGCUGCUGCCAGCAUAGCCCCAGUGUGGGUUCCAAAGGUCACGACAGACACAUUGAUCUCCAGUAAGUCCCUCCUUGAAGCAAUUUGGGUUCUGUUUUGUGAGAAGCAAGCUACACGGAAUACACUGGGAGAGCAAGCCACAUUUUCUUAGAAAUCUGUCAUGGAUGUCACUUGCUGCUGAUGGUGACGACACAAACAAACACACAAACAGCAAACGAACAUAAUGGAAACCCUCUGGGUGUUUCACCGUGGCUUUGGGCUCAACGGUGCAAUGAAGACAACCCUGAAGUCAGGGUGGUUUGUUUAUCCUGAAGGGCACUGAACCCUAACUCAGAGAAAGAUUUUCUACGGAGAAGGGUCAACCCAAAUAUAUGAAACUACUGAUCUCAGAGACUGAGAGUUCAUCAAGCUGCUACGGGCAAUAGGCAUAAGAGUUGGAGCGUGAACUCCGGAGUUCUACUUGCGCGGUCAUGACUAGGUGGCCUUCGGAAAUUACUUCGUGUUCCCCUUGCUUCGUAUUUCUCCAUGUAAAAUGCGAUGGCGCCUCUGUUUUAGAGACAUAGUUUUAAAAAGCAAAGCAUCGUUGUGGUAAACGAGUUUCCUAGUGAGCAUUAGAUGUAAUUACAAGUGUGAACGACAGAUUUCAAAGAGUUUCCCUUGACUGUGAAUCGGGUUCUGGUGCAUUGAGACUCUUCCUGGAGCAGCAGCUGAAGGAGCAGGUCUGGUUCCAGGGCUCUCGUGUGUGGCCCUCCCUGGGCUCUGUUGUGAAGUACUUGCCUCGUGCCUUGUAUCCUUCUAUGGAGCUAGUUGGAGCUGAUCCAUUUGGGCUUUGUUCUUUGUGUUUCCUAGGACUCGCUGUUCCUGUUUGCUGAUGGAGAAAAAUGAUAUCCCCAAAUUGAUCUGAUAUGAGAAGCUGAUCGAAGAUUCUUCAGCCAAGAAGUCAGGGAAAUGCUUAGGAGAAUAUUUCAUGAAGUGAAUCAGUUGAAAAAUUAUUGUUUGGAGUUUAUUUGUGGUAUCUGUGGUAUGUGAUGGCUUUAUGAAAUUUGUGAUUUGGUGUGGAAUUUCUUUUUUUAAAAAAUAUUAAACAUUACAUUUCAUAAUCUUA